rnacentral:ncRNA from 1 species
AGCUUAAGAGCAGACCCAUCCAUCAUUUCUUGUAUCGAUUGAACGGAAGCCUUACCAAAAGAUUUUUCACCAUAAAUUAUGGCUCUUUUAUGAUCUUGAAGAGCACCAGCUACAAUUUCUGAAGCAGACGCAGAUCCACCGUUUAUAAGAACAUAUAGAGGUAAACCCUCGAGGAUAUCCUCACUGUUUGCAAAAUACUCUAGAUCAGAAUUAUUUGUACGUCCUUUUGUAUAGACAAUCUUUCCUGAUUCUAAAAAUAAAUCAGAUAUACCUACAGC